CCAGUGCGCGGGGUCUUCGUCCCAAUAGAGGCCGCUGUGUAGGUGCUCUGGGACUUAGACCCUAGCUUGAGCUGGUCAAUAAAACUCCUUUUGAUGAUUUCAGCCUCAGUGACCCUGUCUCUUUGUUCUGUGGUACUAUGGUUUCCCGCUCUAACACAGGCAUGGCAGAUAAUCAGUUUCCCACUCUGAGAGUCCCGCUCCUCUCACCUGCGGGCGUACUCGGCAGCGCCAUCGUGUCCCUUCCAGCAGAGAAAUAUAAUGAAGAGGAAUUGAUGUGUCCUAGGAAAUGAAAUAUUUCAAUUUUAACAUAAACGGCCAACUGCUCUCCAAAAUGGUCGUACCAUUUUACAAUCUUUCACUACCUAUCUUCAGAAAAAUACUAUGCUCUACGUGGAAGAGGAUUUGAAGAGCUCCAUGUUGUACAGUGUGCCGCAUGUCACACCAGCUCCGCGACACAUUGCACUCGGAAUGAGCAGUGGCAGCAGUGAUUACAAAGACAAACGCACAAAACCAGAGUUCUUUCAACACCGUGAUUGUAUGUGACCACGUGGAAUUUCCAUUUGUGCUGAAAAUUUAAAACAAUGAAGCAGUAGACAGCACAAGACAUAUUUUUUGUUUGGGACGCGCAAAACAGCGUCAGGAGCACCCAGAGGCUUGGCGAGGAGAUGAUGAAGCACAUGUCAGACAGGAGGGCAGCUGUGGCUGUGUCUGCAGAGGAGAAGCCAUGGUGUGCAGCCAGGCAGACCUGCGUUGGAUCAGGCCUGUCGCCUGCUGCUUGUGAGCCCUGGGCAAGGUGGUGAUAGAAGAUAGCACAGUGCUUAACAAGGUGACACAAUGAAAUCUUCAGUAAUCAAUGUUACAAAGCUCCAUGUGGGCUGAUGACUCCAGGAAGACUUGGAGGAGGCAGGGUUGGGAGUCCCUUAAGUGCAUGGGUGGGAUUGGUUGGGGACACGGAAUGACAAGAGGGAGGGCUGUGGGGCUGGGGUAACAGGGGCAGGGGUGUGAGCUUUACUGAGACAGAAGAUGUGGACAGUGAGGGACAGUGAGACUCAGGACAGGUCAGGACUGUGGAGAGGGCUCUGGGCCGCGUCACGCCCAACGUGGCUGAGGCAAGUGCACCUCCCUGUGAGGCUGUUCCACAUUCUGAGAGGUCGGACUAGCCCACCUUCCACGGCAGAGCUAUUGUCCUUCCUCAGCAUGGGCCAGGCCACCGGGACAUGCCAAUUCUGCUUACCUAAUAAAGGGAAACAAUAUUUUGUUAUUAACACAUGUGGUAGAAAGAAAAUAAUACAAUGUGUUAUGUUUAAAUACCGAAUGUCAGAAACAUUGCACUCAUCUGGAUCCCUCAGGGUCUGCUGUAGGCUUGUCACCGGCCUCCUGGGCUGCGCAGAUAACCAGUGCCAGGAGUAAGUCUGAGCACAUCGCAUUUGUUCUCUCCCUUCAUCUUCAUCCUGGCCCUAAAAGGCACCAAGAGAGUCGCACAGGCCACCAAAUCAGCAGCAGCAUCAGGAUGCACAUGGCUGGGGGCGGCCCUGGGCCUGGCCUCCCUCUGUCCCCCAGGUGGAGCCCCAGGAAGAACAGGAGGCCAGGGGUCCCAGGUUGGGCUCUGCCCCUCGCCUGGGGCCUCCUCCCCACCCACCCCUUCUAGCUGUCCCCUGUCCAUGCUUUCUCCUGCAGGGUCACACCAGCGCCUUCUCACAGUCUCACAGGAUGCUCAGACUGACUGCCUCUGUCAGCUGACCUUGGGUUCCAUGCCAGCGGCUAGCCAGACUGACAGCCACUGCCCCGCCAGCGUGCUGGAGUCUGCUUUCAUGGUGUGCACUGCAAACCUCAGCAUCCUGGAGAAAGAAGAUCCACAUAGCUGAGCCAAGAGAGGGCUUGCAUUUCCUGAGCCCUGCCAUCUGCCAGAAAUGCAGAAGUGUAGGACUCUGCUGGUGGCUCUGGCUUUACCCAAUGAUGCAUUAGAAAUUCUAGAAAAGAAAGAUGUUUUCCUGAUAAUGGGUUGACUCCAUGUCCCUGACUCUGGACAGAGAGGAAUAAAAUAAAAUAAAUUUUCCAUCUUAAAAUCUAUGUUCCUCUUACCUUAAAAAUGAAAGUGGAUUUCUCUGUGUCUGCUCUCUCCUUUUAAGAGAGACAUUUUCUCAGUUACUGUUCUGACCAGACAAGGAAGCAUAUGUUCUGCAGAGCACAGGGACUAGAGUACCGAACCUGCUCUGAUAAUUCCAUCGGCAACAUGCCUAGUGUGUGCAUCGGAGAUAAGGGUUUAAUGAUGUACCCUCGAUGCCAGAUCUGGGAGUAACAGGGAGGGUGGUCACAGUUCACUGAACACAUGCUACACAUCUUUUUUCGAAUUUAUUAUUAUUUGAGUUAGAAAGGUUUCUUAUUACUAGAUAAGCAGGCCAGGAGCUUCAAGGUGCAGGCUAGCU